rnacentral:miRNA from 1 species
UGUUUGUGUGUGUGUGUGUU